rnacentral:rRNA from 1 species
GCCAGACUCCUACGGGAGGCAGCAGUGAGGAAUAUUGGUCAAUGGGCGGGAGCCUGAACCAGCCAAGUCGCGUGAGGGAAGACGGUCCUAUGGAUUGUAAACCUCUUUUGUCGGGGAGCAAAGAGGCCUCGUGAGGUCAAAAGCGAGAGUACCCGAAGAAAAAGCAUCGGCUAACUCCGUGCCAGCAGCCGCGGUAAUACGUAGGGAGCAAGCGUUAUCCGGAUUUACUGGGUGUAAAGGGCGUGUAGGCGGGCUUGUAAGUCAGAAGUGAAAUCUGGGGGCUUAACCCCCAAACUGCUUUUGAAACUGCGGGUCUUGAGUGAUGGAGAGGCAGGCGGAAUUCCCAGUGUAGCGGUGAAAUGCGUAGAUAUUGGGAGGAACACCAGUGGCGAAGGCGGCCUGCUGGACAUUAACUGACGCUGAGGCGCGAAAGCGUGGGGAGCAAACAGGAUUAGAUACCCUCGUAGAC